rnacentral:rRNA from 1 species
UACGUAGGGGGCAAGCGUUGUCCGGAUUUAUUGGGCGUAAAGAGCGUGUAGGCGGCCAAGCAGGUCAGCUGUGAAAACUCGAGGCUCAACCUCGAGACGUCGGUUGAAACCGCUUGGCUCGAGUUCGGUAGGGGAGACUGGAAUUCCUGGUGUAGCGGUGAAAUGCGCAGAUAUCAGGAGGAACACCGGUGGCGAAGGCGGGUCUCUGGGCCGAUACUGACGCUGAGGAGCGAAAGCGUGGGGAGCGAACAGG